rnacentral:rRNA from 1 species
UGGGGAAUAUUGCACAAUGGGCGCAAGCCUGAUGCAGCCAUGCCGCGUGUAUGAAGAAGGCCUUCGGGUUGUAAAGUACUUUCAGCGGGGAGGAAGGGAGUAAAGUUAAUACCUUUGCUCAUUGACGUUACCCGCAGAAGAAGCACCGGCUAACUCCGUGCCAGCAGCCGCGGUAAUACGGAGGGUGCAAGCGUUAAUCGGAAUUACUGGGCGUAAAGCGCACGCAGGCGGUUUGUUAAGUCAGAUGUGAAAUCCCCGGGCUCAACCUGGGAACUGCAUCUGAUACUGGCAAGCUUGAGUCUCGUAGAGGGGGGUAGAAUUCCAGGUGUAGCGGUGAAAUGCGUAGAGAUCUGGAGGAAUACCGGUGGCGAAGGCGGCCCCCUGGACGUAGACUGACGCUCAGGUGCGAAAGCGUGGGGAGCAAACA